rnacentral:rRNA from 1 species
UACAGAGGGGGCAAGCGUUGUUCGGAAUUACUGGGCGUAAAGGGCGCGUAGGCGGCCUGUUAAGUCGAACGUGAAAUCCCUGGGCUCAACCCAGGAACUGCGUCCGAUACUGGCAGGCUUGAAUCCGGGAGAGGGAUGUGGAAUUCCAGGUGUAGCGGUGAAAUGCGUAGAUAUCUGGAGGAACACCGGUGGCGAAGGCGGCACCCUGGACCGGUAUUGACGCUGAGGCGCGAAAGCCAGGGGAGCAAACGGG